UGGCUCUGCUCAAACAUGGAGAACACGUUGGAGGAUCCACCCUCACCCUGCUGCUGCCUCCUCUUGGCCUUCUUGGGUGCCUGAGAGAUGGAGAAAAACAGAUAUUGUCUUGAAGGUGAAAGGAGAGGCAGAGGGAGCAGUCAAACACCAUAAAAACAAGACAGCUGUACAGACUGAAAUAGCAGCGCUGCCCCCCCACCACCACCACCACCACCAUUCUCUUCUGCAGCCAUUUUGACCCUGUACUAACAUUUUGACACUCUUCACUGAUUAGCUUGCUUUUUUAAACCCCACUCGUAUUUAGCGCCGUUUGUAAUAUUUAUUGAAAUAUUUGGUGAAGAGUUGCCGGAUCUAAUCUAAAAUGGAAACAUAGCUAAUCUAUGACUUUUUGGAACAAUUUUUAGAGCGUCUAAAAGUAGAAUGGGAGUUAUUAAAUUCAGUUUCAUUGGGUUGGAAUAUCACGACACACGUCACUUUAACGUUUAUUACUAAAUCACUGGAAUAAAUCGUGGUUAUGUAGUCAUGUUUAGUUUAUAAUAAAAGCUGGUUGAAUUAGUUUUGUAUAAAAGAAAACCGUUGAACUUACCUAGCAUGCUGUUUGUAGCAACAGUGGAUACUAAACAUACCGCGCCAUCAUCCUCCUACCACUUCCUGUCCUCGUCUUCUUCGUGGUUUGCGCCACUGGUCACUUCCGGUUGCUGAUCAUGUGACUCGUGUGAUGCGGAAAAAAGGUGUUUCCUUGUAGUUUUGCUAAAUAAACCAGUUUUGAUCAUCCUAACGCCAAAACUUUAUCGAAAAACGAUCCCCCUCCCAAACUGGCGUGUUUCCAUUAAUCAUGUUUAUUUUUGAACUGUCAAAUUACGGGAUUAUAUGGAAACGCAGCUAAUAACAUGCACAAUUUGGCCACUCUUGUAAUGAGAUUAGGUAGAAUUAAUUUUAAGCUGAUUCCUGGCUUUUAACUGUAGUCCUCAACUUUAUUAAAACUGUUAAAAUAUCUGCCAUUUCAUAUGACAAUAUUGUUGUAUUGUUUAUGAUACAGUGCCAGUUUUGAUGUGGUUUUAGGAUCGUUGUGCUGUUGGAAAAAAAAAAAAAAGUUAAAAUUUCCAUCUGUGAUCCAAACUCACUAUUAAAAGAAAAAAAGUGAGUCAAGAUCUAUUAGACUGAAACUGAUACCUUGAAACUUGGCAGGAAUUUGGAUCUGCCAAAUGUUUUUUAUUUUGUGUAUUUCUACAGGAAGUGGGCGGUUUUCCGCAAGUCGUCAUGGAAAGUUUUAAUGGCUAUGAGCCUGUGUGAAUCGCAGUAAAUCCAAGUCAACUCAAAUUUGAUUUAAAAAUUAAUACUGCAUCCAUGUUCACAUUUAUUCUUUAACCAUAAUUGUAAUUUAUAGAUUACAGUGUCAAAAUGUAACAAAGGCAAAACUUCAUACUAAUGAUCAACAAAGUAAAAAGAUGAUAAUUUAUUGAACAAUGUAUGGGAGGAAAACAUAAAAACAGAACAAAGGAAAUACA